rnacentral:rRNA from 1 species
AGAGCGAACGCUGGCGGCAGGCCUAACACAUGCAAGUCGAACGGACUCUUCGGAGUUAGUGGCGGACGGGUGAGUAACACGUGGGAACGUGCCUUUAGGUUCGGAAUAGCUCCUGGAAACGGGUGGUAAUACCGAAUGUGCCCUUCGGGGGAAAGAUUUAUCGCCUUUAGAGCAGCCCGCGUCUGAUUAGCUUGUUGGUGAGGUAAUGGCUCACCAAGGCUACGAUCAGUAGCUGGUCUGAGAGGAUGACCAGCCACAUUGGGACUGAGACACGGCCCAAACUCCUACGGGAGGCAGCAGUGGGGAAUAUUGGACAAUGGGCGCAAGCCUGAUCCAGCAAUGCCGCGUGAGUGAUGAAGGCCUUAGGGUUGUAAAGCUUCUUUUACCCGAGAUGAUAAUGACAGUAGUCGGAGAAUAACGCCCGGACUAACGUCCGUGCCCAGCAGCCGACGGU